CCUACGGGCGGCAGCAGUGAGGAAUAUUGGUCAAUGGACGAGAGUCUGAACCAGCCAAGUAGCGUGAAGGAUGACUGCCCUAUGGGUUGUAAACUUCUUUUAUAUGGGAAUAAAAUGUUCCACGUGUGGGAUUUUGUAUGUACCAUAUGAAUAAGGAUCGGCUAACUCCGUGCCAGCAGCCGCGGUAAUACGGAGGAUCCGAGCGUUAUCCGGAUUUAUUGGGUUUAAAGGGAGCGUAGGUGGAUUGUUAAGUCAGUUGUGAAAGUUUGCGGCUCAACCGUAAAAUUGCAGUUGAAACUGGCAGUCUUGAGUACAGUAGAGGUGGGCGGAAUUCGUGGCGUAGCGGUGAAAUGCUUAGAUAUCACGAAGAACUCCGAUUGCGAAGGCAGUUCACUGGACUGCAACUGACACUGAGGCUCGAAAGUGUGGGUAUCAAACAGGAUUAGAUACCCCUGUAGUC
rnacentral:rRNA from 1 species